ensembl:lncRNA
CAGACACACGCACACACACACACAGAUGCACAUGCACACAGACACACACGCACAUGCACACACAGACGCACAGACACACGCACAUGCAUACACAGAUGCACACAGACACACACAGAGGCACAGACACACGCACACACAUACACAGAUGCACACAGACACACGCACAUGCACACACAGAGGCACAGACACACGCACAUGCACACACAGAUGCACACAGACACACGCACAUGCACACACAGAGGCACAGACACACGCACAUGCACACACAUACACAGAUGCACAUGCACACACAGACACACACAUGCACACAGACACACGCACAUGCACACACAGAGGCACAGACACACGCACAUGCACACACAGAUGCACAUGCACACACAGACACACACGUGCACACAGACACUUGCACAGACACAUGCACACACAUACACAGAUGCACACAGACACACGCACAUGCAUACACAGAUGCACAUGCACACACAGACACACACGUGCACACAGGACACACAAUAGUGCACAUGCACAUGCACACAGAUGCACAUGCACACACAGACACACAGGUGUGCACGCAGGGUGCCUUUUCUCCAGAGGUGCGCCUCUUUUUUUUUUUUAAUUGAGGCAAAAUUCAUAUAACACAAAAUUAGCCAGUUAAAGUGAAUGACUCAGUGGCAUUUAGCACAUUCAGUGUUUGCAAGCACCACUUCCACCUAGUUCCAGGACAUUUGCAUCCCCCCAGAAUAAAACCUCAGGCCAUUAGGCAGUUUCUCCCCAAUCCCCUCCCUCUAGCCCGUGGAAACCACCGCUCUGCUGUUUCCAUGGAUUUACCUGUUCUGGGUGUUCCAUGUAAAUGGAAUCACCCACGUAUGACCUUUUGUGUCUGGCUGCUCUGUUAGCACUGGAACCUUAGGAAGCAGGGGCGCAGGGCAUUCUUGCUGGCCCAGCAGCAGCUCAGCACUCAGGCCCACCCCAAUCCCCCUUCCCACCACCUUCCUGGGGGGCCACCCUUUAAGCAAUAAUUAAUGCUCCAGAAUUGCUUCAGGUAACUUAAAUUCUCUGCUUUUCUUCUCAUUUCUUCAAGCUAAGUUCAUAUGCUCCGCUUUGGUGGCCAGGGGUUUGCAGGUUCAGAUCCCAUCAUGGACCUACACACAGCUCAUCAAGCCACGCUGUGGUGGCAUCCCACAUACAAAAUAGAGGAGGAUGGGCAUGGAUGUCAGCUCAGGGCUGCAGGGGAGGAAGAGAAAUCCUCCAACCUCUAGGUCCUUCUGACCAGGCUACAAAAUGAAUUCACAUGAGACAGAAUAACAGGAGAAAACCAAACAAAGCUUUAUGACAUGUAUGCAUGGGAGAGACCCAAGAACCUGGGUAACUCGCCAAAAUGGCCGAGCUGCCAGCUGGAACACAAUCUUCACCUAAAGACAAAGGAGGAUGUUGGGGGUAGCUAUUUGGGACUUCAAGGACGUGGAAGGCAAUUCACACGGAGAUGGAAAUGUAAAUGGGUCAACUACAAACAAUGUGACCUGAGAGACAUUUUACAUUGCACUACAGUUAACUUAUGUAUUAGCUCCUUCC